CCCCGCUUCGCCCUCCCCCCGCGGGCGCUGUUUGGGGGAAUUCCGCCGGGACGGCGCUGACAUCGUGCGGCCCCAAAUCUCCCCCAGGGCUGCGGGAGGAGGCGGAACCGCCGCGUUCCUCCGCUCGUGGUUGUGCGAAGCCGGCACUGACGGCCCAGCGCGUCGCGUUUUCUUAAUUUGCGCUAUUAAUAGAAGUGGAGAAGCGAAACGCGGCUGUGACAAAGGGAGGGGAAAGCCGGCACCGCAGAUUCCUGCUUUCAGGCCGACGUCACCUCCCCUCCCGGCUCACAGCGGGGAAUUUCCCAGCUGGCAGCGAGGGCUAUAAGACACGGGUAGGGAUGGGCUGCGGCUGCACGGAUCCCACAUGGGCACAUCGACCGACGUGAUGCGCAUCCACGCUGUUCUGUCUGUGUACCCACACAAGGCAGGAUUGAUUUCAUCUACGUCUCGCAGCAGCCGACCCCAGGGAUUUCACACCCAGGAAGCACCUACGAGUAACGGUCUUCUCAUUGAGAAGGUCUGCUUCCAUGGGUAGAGCCCACAGUCCAGCUGGGAGAGUCAAAACAGUGACUUCACUGACACUUCCUCGCUCCCCCUUUGCACCAGUGCUCCUCAGCGGCUCCAGGAGACAGAAAGAGGUUGGUGGGAGUUGGCUGCAAUGUAAUCUGCAGCCCAGCUGGUGUGGGACACCCGACGGGAGGGGAAAGGAGCUCCGCUCUUCAGCUUCUCGUCGUGGUGUUUCAUGGUUGGGAGGCACCAAACUCCCGUAAAAACGCUGUCCCGGGUUUGCUCUGCUUUACACUUCUCAUGGGACAGAAAGUUUGGUAUUUCUGUACAAUGUUUACUGUCUGUCUGAUUGAAAGCAACAAAAAUAAACACCAUUAAGUCUG